rnacentral:ncRNA from 1 species
ACGCUCUGGAGAAGCCCGGAUCAGACCGGGUGCCGAAGGUGCAAGGCCGGAUUCCGGCUAAUCUCUCAGGCAAAAGGACAGAGUCG